rnacentral:sRNA from 12 species
CCUUGACAGUUGUAUUUUGCAACUGACACUAGCCAAGACAAGGAGACACACAUG